UGUGUGUGUGUGUGUGUGUGUGUGUGUGUUCUUUCUUUUGCAGUCCUUCUACACAACGCCAUUCCUUUUGUAGGAUUUGGUUUCCUGGACAACGCCAUCAUGAUUGUAGCUGGCACGCAGAUUGAGUUGUCCAUAGGUGUGAUCCUUGGGAUUUCAACCAUGGCAGCGGCUGCCCUGGGGAACCUUGUGUCGGACCUGGCUGGACUCGGAAUGAAGAAGCUGCUCAUGUCACACGGUCACAAACACCCUCCUCCAUUUUGGACUUCCAGAAUAGGAAAAACAUCUGCUCCCAUCAUCCAAUGGAAAUGCUCUGUUUUGUUUUUUUGGUGGAUAACUCGAUAACGCCAUGGCUGCAUGCUAAUCAUAAAACUAAUUCAGAUUUUAAUUGUUAGGCUGAGUGAAAUGUUGGACUUU
ensembl:lncRNA